UACAGAGGGUGCAAACGUUGCUCGGAUUUACUGGGCGUAAAGCGCGUGUAGGCGGGUUCGCAAGUCGGUUGUGAAAUCCCUGGGCUCAACCCAGGAACUGCAUCCGAAACUGCUUACCUAGAGUAGUGGAGAGGAAAGUAGAAUUCCCGGUGUAGAGGUGAAAUUCGUAGAUAUCGGGAGGAAUACCAGUGGCGAAGGCGGCUUUCUGGACACUUACUGACGCUGAGACGCGAAAGCGUGGGGAGCAAAC
rnacentral:rRNA from 1 species